AUUGAACGCUGGCGGCAUGCCUUACACAUGCAAGUCGAACGCGAAAGAGGGGCAACCCUUGAGUAGAGUGGCGAACGGGUGAGUAACGCAUCGGAACGUAUCCAGUAGUGGGGGAUAACCCAUCGAAAGAUGGGCUAAUACCGCAUACGCCCCGAGGGGGAAAGUGGGGGAUCCGCAAGGACCUCACGUUAUUGGAGCGGCCGAUGUCCGAUUAGCUAGUUGGCGGGGUAAGAGCCCACCAAGGCGACGAUCGGUAGCUGGUCUGAGAGGAUGAUCAGCCAAACUGGGACUGAGACACGGCCCAGACUCCUACGGGAGGCAGCAGUGGGGAAUUUUGGACAAUGGGGGCAACCCUGAUCCAGCCAUGCCGCGUGAGUGAAGAAGGCCUUCGGGUUGUAAAGCUCUUUCGGCCGGAACGAAAUCGCAUCUCUUAACACGGGGUGUGGAUGACGGUACCGGAAGAAGAAGCACCGGCUAACUACGUGCCAGCAGCCGCGGUAAAAC
rnacentral:rRNA from 1 species